ACCUACAGCCAUACCACCCUGAAUGCACAUGAUCUUGUCUGAUCAUGGAAACUAAGCAAGGCCGGGCCUGGUUAGUACUUAAGUGGGAGGCAACUUUAAUAAGUCACUCAUGCUAACUUCCUCCUUUUGGUU
rnacentral:rRNA from 1 species